CGAAAAUGCCCUCCCACCUGCCCACUCCCAUCCACUUGCUGCCCACUCUCACCCACACCCUCUCAUUCCCCUCCCUCGUCGCCUCUCCGCAUCGUCGCCGGCCACCGCAGCCCGUCGCGUUCUCACUCCGGCAGCCCACCGUGUUCUUCCUCCUGCAGCCCAGCGCUUGCUUCCUCUCCUUCCUUUCCCACCGCUUGCUUCCUCUCCUCCCUUUCCCAUCCCGAGGUCAAAAGAGUGGUUUUUUAUGCGCCGGUGAAGAGCUUCUGGGCGGCGGAGCUGGUGUGGGCGCCGACGCCGGAUCCGCGUGCGCGUACGCUGGAUCUGGGCGACGGAGCGGCCUGGACAGAGUGGAGCGGCGACGGAGUGGAGCAGCGGAGUGGCCCCCGGGAAGGAUGCAUGGCCGGUUGCGGGCACCCUAGGUGGGGCUGCGCUUCUAUGCGGCGACCUCAUCGAGACCAAGAAGCCGGUGUUGGUGAUGCUGCUGCACAUCGAUGACCUCCUCCCUCUCAUGCGUGCCCGUCGUCGUGCGCCGUGACAGACGAUGCAGGGAGAGGAGGACGACCCCAGCCAUGGAGUAGCAACAACUCAAGUUUAAGGUCAAAGUGAUGGUCAUGGGUGAAAUUAGGGACGAUGCCCAGCAGCAACAACUCACCAACACCUGCUCCGACGCCAUGGACCAACAGCAGCAACUGAAGGGAAGAUGAGGAAGCUCACCGACUGCAUCUUCGUCGGCAUCAAUGCCCUCGUGCAUGUCGAUGUCAUCUUCACCAGGAUCAAUGCUCUCGUGCAUGUCGAUAUCAUCGAUAUCAUCUUCAUCGGGACCGACUCCUCCAGGUUGUUGUGUCGUGCUGGAGAUGCUGCCUGCUUCGAGCUGUUGCUGUUGCUGCCUACUUCAAGCCCUCCAGGAGGCGAUCUGGACCAAGUGGGGAGGCUAUCUGCAGCAGUACCUGGAGCUGCAUGGGAGGGCGCGGCGAUCUGGACCUGGGGCUGCCGAUCUGAAGCAGUACCCCCUCCGGCGAGCAGAUCCUCGAUCUGAAGCAGUACUCUCUGGAGCUGGCGAGGCCUUGGGAGGGGGACAACGAUCUGCAGCAGCACCCCCUCCGACAAGGCGAGUUGGUGAGGCCCCCUCCAGCGACAGGGGGCUGGAUUGGCGCAGGCGACAGGGGGUGGCCCUGGGAGAGGGGCGGCCCUGGGAUGGGGGGCGACCCUGUCGGCAGGAAGCAAGCAGCAGCGGCGAUUGGGAUGGAGAGGAUCUGCUCGGCGAGGAAGACGACGGCAAUAGCGAUUCAAAUUAGGGGCACUUUUGUACUUUCCUCCCUUUUCACCUGGUCGGGACGUUUUCUAAAACGUCAUAUAUUUCGGAACGGAGGGAGUACUAGGGAAGUACAUAUUCAGCCCCGGUGUUGUGGCGGCUGACUAGGCAGUUAGCUCUACAAAACCAGUCAAAGCCGACCACAAAACUGAUUUGAGGCACAUAAGGUUGAAAGUUGUCCGGUUUUGAGAGUUUAGGGCUGUAAUGUAGACGGUUUUGGAGCACGUGGUUGUAGAUUAAACUAAAGCAUGAGUUGAGGGUUGAAAUAUGCACUUCUUUCCUCUUUUUUUUGAGUAGUUUGGAUUGCUUACCACAUGUGUCACAUGGUUCUCUCCUUGUUUUUCAUAGUGGUAUUUUGGCAUUCUUGGUUUCAACUAGGUAUAGUUUGUCCCCGCAGAAAAAUAGUGAUAGUUUGGCUAUUUUCUCAUAAACAAACGUACAAA
rnacentral:rRNA from 1 species